rnacentral:rRNA from 1 species
AGCGAACGCUGGCGGCAUGCCUAACACAUGCAAGUCGAACGAGACCUUCGGGUCUAGUGGCGCACGGGUGCGUAACGCGUGGGAACCUGCCCUUAGGUUCGGAAUAACUCCCCGAAAGGGGUGCUAAUACCGGAUAAUGUCUUCGGACCAAAGAUUUAUCGCCUUUGGAUGGGCCCGCGUUGGAUUAGCUAGUUGGUAGGGUAAAAGCCUACCAAGGCGACGAUCCAUAGCUGGUCUGAGAGGAUGAUCAGCCGCACUGGGACUGAGACACGGCCCAGACUCCUACGGGAGGCAGCAGUGGGGAAUAUUGGACAAUGGGCGAAAGCCUGAUCCAGCAAUGCCGCGUGAGUGAUGAAGGCCUUAGGGUUGUAAAGCUCUUUUACCCGGGAUGAUAAUGACAGUACCGGGAGAAUAAGCUCCGGCUAACUCCGUG